UACGUAGGUGGCAAGCGUUGUCCGGAAUUAUUGGGCGUAAAGCGCGCGCAGGCGGCCUCUUAAGUCUGAUGUGAAAGCCCCCGGCUCAACCGGGGAGGGCCAUUGGAAACUGGGAGGCUUGAGUAUAGGAGAGAAGAGUGGAAUUCCACGUGUAGCGGUGAAAUGCGUAGAGAUGUGGAGGAAGCACCAGUGGCGAAGGCGACUCUUUGGCCUAUAACUGACGCUGAGGCGCGAAAGCGUGGGGAGCAAACAGG
rnacentral:rRNA from 1 species